GCCUAUGGCCAUGCCACCCUGAACGAGCCUGAUACCGUCGAUCUUGGAAGCUAAGCAGGGUUGGGCCCAGUUAGUACUUGGAUGGGAGACCACCUAGGAAGACCAGGUGCUGUAGGCA
rnacentral:rRNA from 1 species